CCUANGGGGGGCAGCAGUAAGGAAUAUUGGUCAAUGGGCGCAAGCCUGAACCAGCCAUGCCGCGUGCAGGAAGACGGCCCUAUGGGUUGUAAACUGCUUUUGUACGGGAAAAAACUCCCGGUCGUGAACCGGGACUGAUGGUACCGUAAGAAUAAGCAUCGGCUAACUCCGUGCCAGCAGCCGCGGUAAUACGGAGGAUGCAAGCGUUAUCCGGAUUCAUUGGGUUUAAAGGGUGCGCAGGCGGAAUGAUAAGUCAGUGGUGAAAUCCUGCAGCUUAACUGCAGAACUGCCAUUGAUACUGUCAUUCUUGAGUAUAGUUGAAGUGGGCGGAAUGUGUCAUGUAGCGGUGAAAUGCUUAGAUAUGACACAGAACACCGAUCGCGAAGGCAGCUCGCUAAGCUAUAACUGACGCUCAUGCACGAAAGCGUGGGGAUCAAACAGGAUUAGAUACCCUANUANUC
rnacentral:rRNA from 1 species